rnacentral:rRNA from 1 species
GCACUGGAGGGCAUCGCAUUACACACCCUCGCACCUCACACCACUCCUCCAUCCACCUUUUUGCCAGCGUGAGAGCUUCUUCUUUCUUGCGAGGGAGAGAGGGUAGCGAGCAACCAGGGAGCUAGGCGUCAAUGGCGACCAUAGCCACGAUGACCAUGCUCAAGCCCGCCAAGAUCACGGCCAGGUCGGCGCCUUCGUCGCCGUCGUCCAGCGCCAAGGUGGCGUCGCCGAGCAUCUCGCUGCGCAGCCUGCAGAAGAACGCGGCCAAGAAGGGAGCCCUGGCCGUGUCGCCGGCGGCCGCGGCCAUGGCGAGCGCCUUCUUCACCUCGCUGGCCUCGUCGGACGCGGCGAUGGCGUCGCAGCGGAUCGCGGACGUGGCGGCGGCGGCCCCCGCGGACGACAACCGGGGCCUGCUCCUGCUCUUCGUGGUGGCGCCCGCGCUCGGGUGGGUGCUCUACAACAUCCUCCAGCCGGCGCUGAACCAGCUCAACAAGAUGCGGUCCGAGAAGGCGCUCGUCGCCGGGCUCGGCAUCGGCGCCGCCGCGGCCGCCGGCCUGGCCGCCGUGCCGGAGCCGGCCUCCGCUGCCGUGCAGGAGCUGGCCGCGCUGGCGGCGGUCGCGCCGGCCGACGACAACCGGGGCCUGCUGCUGCUCUUCGUGGUGGCGCCCGCCCUCGGCUGGGUGCUCUACAACAUCCUGCAGCCGGCGCUGAACCAGCUCAACAAAAUGCGAUCCAACUGAGCGCGCGUACGUCGUCGUCGUGGCAUCGCAUGCGGUCCGGCCGAGUGGGUUCGUAUGUGUGUGUUCGUCUAUUAAGAGUCGUGGUAGUAGCGUGGAACGUGGUGUGAGUGCCCGCUUGCAUACUCUCUAAUCUUGUUCCUUCCAUUGAUCAAAUGCAGUACAGCUCUUCUUGUUUUCUCUUCUGCUACGUUCAGUGCAAUGUUCUCUUCUGCUACGUUCCAUGCUGGAUUGGGUUUUUAGGGCAACUCUAACCAAUCCUGUAAAAAUAAAGGACGAUCCUUAGCAAAUGUUUUUACUUCAGAUUUGACCGGUGCUAGCCGAUCCACAAUAUAUAACGAGUAAAGUUACUUUUUGUUUACGUAUUUCGUCGAACAUUUGUCAUGCGUGUCCGCGAUGAUGGUGACCACAUCGAAAACGCUGGCGUCCGCCAUCGUGAUC